rnacentral:rRNA from 1 species
GACGAACGCUGGCGGCGUGCUUAACACAUGCAAGUCGAACGGAAAGGCCCUGCUUUUGUGGGGUGCUCGAGUGGCGAACGGGUGAGUAACACGUGAGUAACCUGCCCUUGACUUUGGGAUAACUUCAGGAAACUGGGGCUAAUACCGGAUAGGAGCUCCUGCUGCAUGGUGGGGGUUGGAAAGUUUCGGCGGUUGGGGAUGGACUCGCGGCUUAUCAGCUUGUUGGUGGGGUAGUGGCUUACCAAGGCUUUGACGGGUAGCCGGCCUGAGAGGGUGACCGGCCACAUUGGGACUGAGGUACGGCCCAGACUCCUACGGGAGGCAGCAGUGGGGAAUAUUGCACAAUGGGCGGAAGCCUGAUGCAGCAACGCCGCGUGCGGGAUGACGGCCUUCGGGUUGUAAACCGCUUUCGCCUGUGACGAAGCGUGAGUGACGGUAAUGGGUAAAGAAGCACCGGCUAACUACGUGCCAGCAGCCGCGGUGAUACGUAGGGUGCGAGCGUUGUCCGGAUUUAUUGGGCGUAAAGGGCUCGUAGGUGGUUGAUCGCGUCGGAAGUGUAAUCUUGGGGCUUAACCCUGAGCGUGCUUUCGAUACGGGUUGACUUGAGGAAGGUAGGGGAGAAUGGAAUUCCUGGUGGAGCGGUGGAAUGCGCAGAUAUCAGGAGGAACACCAGUGGCGAAGGCGGUUCUCUGGGCCUUUCCUGACGCUGAGGAGCGAAAGCGUGGGGAGCGAACAGGCUUAGAUACCCUGGUAGUCCACGCUGUAAACGGUGGGUACUAGGUGUGGGGUCCAUUCCACGGGUUCCGUGCCGUAGCUAACGCUUUAAGUACCCCGCCUGGGGAGUACGGCCGCAAGGCUAAAACUCGAAGGAAUUGACGGGGCCCCGCACAAGCGGCGGAGCAUGCGGAUUAAUUCGAUGCAACGCGUAGAACCUUACCUGGGUUUGACAUGGAUCGGGAGUGCUCAGAGAUGGGUGUGCCUCUUUUGGGGUCGGUUCACAGGUGGUGCAUGGCUGUCGUCAGCUCGUGUCGUGAGAUGUUGGGUUAAGUCCCGCAACGAGCGCAACCCUUGUUCACUGUUGCCAGCACGUUAUGGUGGGGACUCAGUGGAGACCGCCGGGGUCAACUCGGAGGAAGGUGGGGAUGACGUCAAGUCAUCAUGCCCCUUAUGUCCAGGGCUUCACGCAUGCUACAAUGGCUGGUACAGAGAGUGGCGAGCCUGUGAGGGUGAGCGAAUCUCGGAAAGCCGGUCUCAGUUCGGAUUGGGGUCUGCAACUCGACCUCAUGAAGUCGGAGUCGCUAGUAAUCGCAGAUCAGCAACGCUGCGGUGAAUACGUUCCCGGG